GUUAAUUGCAAUUGCGGCAAUACAUAACCUUGAGAUUCAUCAAAUGGAUGUAAAAAUGGCAUUUCUAAACGGCAAGUUAAAAGAUGAGAUAUAUAUGAAAAAACCUGAAGGGUUCGUGUCUCCAAAUGAAAGCCAUAAAAUAUGUAAACUUGUUAAGUCGAUAUACAGCUUAAAAUAAGCUCCUAAGCAAUUGCAUCAGAAGUUUGACAAAAUAAUGUUGUCAAAUGGAUUUAAAAUAAAUGAAUGUGACAAGUGUGUAUAUGUAAAGAAUACACCGAAUGCCUAUGUGAUAGUAUGUCUAAAUGUAGACGAUAUGUUGAUAAUGGGCAAUAAUCACGAAAUGUUAACAAACAUCAAGAAAAUGCUAACAAGGCAUUUUGACAUGAAAGACAUGGAUGUGGCAGAUGUAAUACUAAGGAUAAAGAUCUCUAGAACAUCGGAAAGGAAUCGUAUUUUCCCAAUCUCAUUAUGUUGAGAAAAUACUUAAGAAGUUUGAAGUAUUUGAGGAAAGUCCUACAAAACUCCUAUUGACACAAGUCUACACUUGGUCAAAAAUAAGGGAGAAAGCGUGUCACAACUAAGAUAUUCACAAAUAAUUGACAGUCUAAUGUAUGUUACGAACUGCACUCGAUCGGACAUUGCGUUUGCGGUGAAUAAACUUAGUAGAUUCACGAGUAAUCCAAAUCAUGAUCAUUGGGGGCAUUAAUAAGGGUCCUUAAGUACUUGAAGUAUACGACAUAUGGAUUACAUUUCACAAAAUAUCCUAUGGUAUUAGAAGGAUAUUGUUACACGAAUUGGAUAUCUGAUAUGAAGGAUUUCAAAUCCACAAGUGGCUAUGUGUUUACACUUGGUGGAGCUGCUAUCUCAUGGAAAUCUUCAAAUAAAAUGUAUAUAGCUCAAUCAGCUAUGGAAUCAGAGUUUAUUGCUUUGGAUAAAGCUGGUAAAGAAGCAGAAUGGCUUCAAAAUUUUUUAGAAGAUGUUUCAUGUUGGCCUAAGCCGAUACCAGCCAUAAGCAUACACUGCGGUAAUCAAUUGGCUAUUGAAAGGGCUAAAAGCAGCAUGUACAAUGGUAAGUCUAGACAUAUAUGUCGGAGACAUAAUACCAUUAAGCAACUGAUCUCAAUUGGCAUCAUCUCCAUAGAUUAUGUGAAAUCAAAGGAGAAUGUUGCGGAUCCACUUACAAAAGGUUUGCCAAGAUAUCAAACACGUUGCCUAUCGAGAGGGAUGAGAUUAAAGCCUACUACGUUAGAGUCCUUGUAAUGGUAACCCUACCUUGUUGAUUGGAGAUCCCCAAGAUCUUGAUUCAAAGGGACAACUAAGUUAUGAGGAUUCCAUGAAGCACUUAGGAAAUAAUUUUCUAACUCAUUCCUAUGAUACCAAAGUGCUUUCUGCAGAAUUGGAAAAGGUUAAGAUAAUCUUUUAAUGAUUCAUAUAUCUUGAUUAAGUCAAGUGGAGUAUGGCAGAUACUUUUAAUAGGAGGUCACCUAUGUGAGUGUGAAGUGAGGCCGCUUCAAUGAGAAUUAUUCAAGGCUUAAAUUCUCUAAAAUACUUGCAAAACCAAGAGGGGUUCAGGGCUAAAAUGAACCAAGUCAUGAGAACCAAGAACGGAAUUAGGGAAGACAUUGUGUGAGUAUUGUUGUCUUGGCUCACACUAAUGGCUGGUCGGUUCAAAACAUCACGUUCACCAACUAGCCAAGUAAGCUCGAUAAUAUUUCACUAGGGAAGGUUCAAAGUCGGAAGCUACCUUGUCCGAUGCAAUAUUUCUCCGCUCUCUCUCUACAAUUGCAUGUAUCGUGACGCAUAUCAUUUGCAUACUCGAAUUUCCAUUCAUGUGGGGGAUUGUUGGAAAUUGGUUUCCAAAUUAACAUGAAAGAUUGGAAAUUGGUUAAGUAAAAAUUGAAAUCGAAAAGUGUGACUAACGUGUCAACUUCGGCCGAAUAUUCGGACUUGAUCCGAUGGUCAAAUUACAAAAGUAAAAAGUUCAACUUGUUCUACUCAUCGAAUAGAUAAUCGUAGUAUAUUUGGACAUUAGAAACCAAUUUCGGGUGAAUGAGAAAUUGCGGUCCAAAGAUUGGAGGAAAAUACGAUGGAAAAAAGCUCGAGCGAAAUUCUAGUGAAAAGCGAGGGAAAUAUGUUCUGCUCGGAUUUUUGAAACGCUGCUCGAGCAAAAAGCUAGCGAAGAUGAAAUGUUGCAACUAUUCGAAAGAUUACACGAUUUAGCCCACACCACUUCAUCCACACCCCUUCCUCAUCUAUAAAUAGGACACCUUGGACGUCCCUAAGAGAACACCAACUCAUUUUUUGCAUUGAACACUCUUCUUCUCUUACAAAAUCUCUCUCCCUUUUUCUUGCAUAAAAUCCCUUUGUAGAGGGGGAAAUUCCGUCUGCUAGCCGGUUCUUGUGAUGUGAAGUGCUGCUACUACAAGACUAAACAUCCAUUGUAUUUUGGGAGACGAGUGCCGUCAACCGUAAGCACCAUAGUGGGGCAAUAUUAUCUUAAGGAGAAAGUGUCAUCACUUGCCUCAGAUUUCAUUUCUUUUUCUUCUCCUUUUCUUGUUUCAUUUUGAUAUCUUGAUUUUGUGGUUUUGUACUACACUUUCAAGUUCACAUAUCGAUAGUUUGAUCACGCUCCUGCGGGUUAAACAUUAAAUUGUUUUGAUAUAACCAUCAUACAACUCACAUAAACCCCGGAACCAAUACUUGCUUCGUGAUUCAUGGACGCUACACGAUCUUGCAUCAGGUUGGAGGAUUUGAAGAUAUUUCAUCAAAAAAUGACACAUGAAUUUACUCUAUUCUUGCAAGUAAUUUUUGGCACCCUUAUGGCCAAGAAAAUAUCACUGAAGUUUUUGCACGGCAAUCAGCUUAUUGCAUUGUCUGAAAAUAGAAGAUCAAAAACCGAAGUGUACACUCCUUUGCUGUCUGACAUAAUGGCUAAGGUGGUUAACGACGAAUUGAAAUGUUGGAUGACAUGAUUUACACACGACUUUCUAGGGAAAAUGAACAAGAUGAGCAGUGGAUGGAGGAGUUAUCUUUGAGGAAGCAGCUGAAGUUGCAGAAUGUUGGUGCUCCUGCAUAUGAGCCUACUUGCGUGGGAAUUGAACAUGAUGCCACCGUUUACCAUCCAAUGCCAGUUUCAAGUUAUGUACCGUCAGGCAGAAAGAAUUCCUUUUUAUAUGAACAAACCAUAAAUCUCCAAGAAUACAGUUGAUAAUAAUUCCAAUAGGAAAAUGGAAGUGAGAGAGAAUGACAGAAAUAAGCAGAAUGACAAUCACAGCACAGCAAAAGAUAGUCCAAAACAUGCAGAGCAUUACCUGGAUGAUGUCAACGAAACAGGUGUGCUAACCACAUCUCAAGCUGUAAUUACAAGUCAAGAAAAUCCCAUUCUGUCACACAGACGUUGUCUAUACUUUAUGCGUUAAAUUAUGCACAUUUUGGUCGGCGU
rnacentral:lncRNA from 1 species